UUCUUUCCCCAAUUUUUUCCCUCCCCCCACCGUAGAAGGCCUCUAUUAUAACAAAUAAGUACAGGGAGCGAAACUAUUCCAUGAGCUGGAUGCAUCUCUAGAUCAUCACCUCUCAGCCAAGAGGUUCAUUUUUCUAAUGAAAACCACAGGGGCAGUGUCUACACUGGCAAGAUGAAGUAGAGAAACAAGCAAUCUGGUAAAGAAAUCAUCAUCAUUUUGAUUCUUCAUCCUGACAAAAUAUUUCAAUAGAUCAAGUUGAAUGCUCAGUGGUGAGUCAUGUAUCCACUAAUGAUUUCAGAUGACUCUUUCCUACAAAAUGUCACCAAUAAUGAACAAGCCAACAGCCCCGGAGAUGGUGGGUCACAAAGGUUGGAGAAAAAGGGAUGAAGCAAGGAAUUUCAUCAAUCAGUGCAUGACUCCCAAAUCCUAUGGUUCAAGUAUGACAGUUGUUGUGUUUCACGCCUUGACUUUGGUGGAGUGUGCCGGAAGCCCAAAAGUGAAUUCGCUUAGUGAGAAUGACUUCACAAUUCAGCACCAGUUUCAACCAGUCAAAAAUGCUGCCGUUUUGGCUUAACUACAGGAAGAGUCUGAAGCUCAUGGUUUCUGUGACAACGCAGGGUCAGGUGACCUGGAUAUGUCCUGCCAAGCUGUUCCUGAGGAAUAAAUAGGCUGUUUGUAAACAGGACGGCUCAGCAUUCUCUCACAAGAUUUCAAGUUCACAAAGCAUGAGGCAGCUGGGGGAAGGGUCAAAGGUGAAAGGUGACAAGCCAUCUUGGGUCCAUUCUUAUGUCGAGCCUCUGGCUGCAGUUCAGACUGAGG